AUGACGGCAAUCGUAGGAUGUUUGGUGUCGACAAGCCCGUUCGGUAUGCUGCGGAUUGCCCGUUGCAUCAAAAACAAUAUGGGCGAGUGGGCGGAAUGGGAAUACAGGUGGUUUGAUCCAGACGGCCCAAUGUUUCCUCCGUUGCCAGAUUGUAACCCAGCUUUCCACAACGGCUUGAUGUACCUAUUGGAAGAAGACGGAGGGCUAGCAGUCUAUGAUGUGAGUAGGCAUGAUGGAAACUUUGAAAUCCUGGACAAGCCCAACAGCUUUGGAUUCGAAUGUGAAGACAGCUACUUGGUUGAGUCGGACCAACACGAGCUCAUGGCUGUCCUUGUUGGGCACCGUCGGACGCCGGUAAACGUUGUCAAGCUCAAUGAGCAUACAAUGGAGUGGGAGAAGAUAGAAAACCUAGAGGGGAGAUCCCAAUUCACUGGAUCGUUGUCGACGGCAAUGAAGAAGACUAACAUCAAGUGGAUGCAGAACAAGAUAUUUCUCCCUAGGUUCUAUGAUUGGCCUCGGAGGACCGUCCUCGUUGACCUUAUACAACGAGACGGUGAAUUGGCCUUCGUGCCAAAUUCAAGAUUCUCAGAUACCACGAUAGAGGAUAACUAUGGCACAGACAUAUGGACUUACGAAUUGGGACAAGGUGAGGAAGCAAAGGAAUUUUGGGAAACAGAGAGAGUGAAUUAUAGUAUUUGGGUUGAUUUCAGUAGUUAUUAA
rnacentral:rRNA from 1 species